rnacentral:rRNA from 1 species
GGUAACGCGGGGGCAGGGGCCGCGGUAAGGCAGAUGGUGCGAACGGUGGUCGGAAUUACUGGGGGUAAAGGGCGUGGAGGCUGUCGCGAAAGUCGGAUGUGAAAGCCCUGGGCUCAACCUAGGAAGUGCAUUCGAAACUUCGAGACUCGAGGCCUGGAGAGGAUCGCGGAAUUCUCGGUGUAGAGGUGAAAUUCGUAGAUAUCGAGAGGAACACCGGUGGCGAAGGCGGCGAUCUGGACAGUGACUGACGCUGAGACGCGAAAGCGUGGGGAGCAAACAGGAUUAGAUACCCCGGUAGUC